UACGAAGGGUGCAAACGUUGCUCGGAAUCAUUGGGCGUAAAGCGCACGUAGGCGGGCGCUGCAAGUCGGACGUGAAAUCCCUCGGCUCAACCGAGGACGUGCAUCCGAAACUGCAGUGCUCGAGUAUGGAAGAGGGUCGCGGAAUUCUCGGUGUAGAGGUGAAAUUCGUAGAUAUCGGGAGGAACACCAGUGGCGAAGGCGGAGACCUGGGCCGAUACUGACGCUGAGGUGCGAAAGCGUGGGGAGCAAACAGG
rnacentral:rRNA from 1 species